GUGGCGUUAGCUUAGAGGUAAAGCAGUGGAUUGUGAUUCCACCUAGAGGGAUUCGAGUUCCCUACGCCACCCCG
rnacentral:tRNA from 1 species